rnacentral:rRNA from 1 species
AUUGAACGCUGGCGGCAGGCUUAACACAUGCAAGUCGAGCGGAGUGGUGGUGGUUGCACUAUCACUUAGCGGCGGACGGGUGAGUAAUGCUUAGGAAUCUGCCUAUUAGUGGGGGACAACAUUUCGAAAGGAAUGCUAAUACCGCAUACGUCCUACGGGAGAAAGCAGGGGAUCUUCGGACCUUGCGCUAAUAGAUGAGCCUAAGUCGGAUUAGCUAGUUGGUGGGGUAAAGGACUACCAAGGCGACGAUCUGUAGCGGGUCUGCGAGGAUGAUCCGCCACACGGGGACUGAGACACGGCCCAGACUCCUACGGGAGGCAGCAGUGGGGAAUAUUGGACAAUGGGCGGAAGCCUGAUCCAGCCAUGCCGCGUGUGUGAAGAAGGCCUUAUGGUUGUAAAGCACCUUAAGCGGGGAGGAGGCUACUUUAGUUAAUACCUAGAGAUAGUGGACGUUACUCGCAGAAUAAGCACCGGCUAACUCUGUGCCAGCCGCCGCCGUAACAC